rnacentral:rRNA from 1 species
UUCGUCGUGUAGCGGUGAAAUGCUUAGAUAUGACGAACAACUCCGAUUGCGAAGGCAGCCUGCUGUAUCGCAACUGACGCUGAAGCUCGAAAGCGUGGGUAUCGAACAGGAUUAGAUACCCUGGUAGUCCACGCGGUAAACGAUGGAUGCUCGCUGUUUGCGUCUGACGUAAGUGGCCAAGCGAAAGCGUUAAGCAUCCCACCUGGGGAGUACGCCGGCAACGGUGAAACUCAAAGGAAAUUGACGGGGGCCCGCACAAGCGGAGGAACAUGUGGUUUAAUUCGAUGAUACGCGAGGAACCUUACCCGGGCUUGAACUGUAGGCGAACGAUUCAGAGAUGAUGAGGCCCUUCGGGGCGCCUAUGGAGGUGCUGCAUGGUUGUCGUCAGCUCGUGCCGUGAGGUGUCGGCUUAAGUGCCAUAACGAGCGCAACCCUUGUUCGUAGUUGCCAUCGGGUUAUGCCGGGCACUCUGCGAAGACUGCCUCCGUAAGGAGUGAGGAAGGUGGGGAUGACGUCAAAUCAGCACGGCCCUUACGUCCGGGGCUACACACGUGUUACAAUGGCAUGUACAGAAAGCUGGGUGUAUGCAAAUACGCUCGAAUCCCUAAAACAUGUCUCAGUUCGGACUGGGGUCUGCAACCCGACCCCACGAAGCUGGAUUCGCUAGU